CCUACGGGAGGCAGCAGUGGGGAAUAUUGCACAAUGGCGCCAAGCCUGAUGCAGCAAUGCCGCGUGUGUGAAGAAGGCCUUAGGGUUGUAAAGCACUUUCAAUAGGGAAGAAAAGCUUAGAGUUAAUAACUUUAAGCAUUGACGUUACCUAUAGAAGAAGCACCGGCUAAAUCCGUGCCAGCAGCCGCGGUAAUACGGAGGGUGCGAGCGUUAAUCGGAAUUACUGGGCGUAAAGCGCGCGUAGGCGGUUUUAUAAGUCGGAUGUGAAAUCCCCGGGCUCAACCUGGGAACUGCAUCCGAAACUAUUUAACUAGAGUAUGGGAGAGGGAAGUAGAAUUUCCGGUGUAGCGGUGAAAUGCGUAGAUAUCGGAAGGAAUACCAGUGGCGAAGGCGGCUUACUGGACCAAUACUGACGCUGAGGUGCGAAAGCGUGGGGAGCGAACAGGAUUAGAUACCCUGGUAG
rnacentral:rRNA from 1 species